ACAAAAAACCCUCCCUUAAACGAUCAAUGUCUUCCAAGGUGGGGAAUCAGCACCAACUGAGCUGGAGCAGGAACUUGAGCUGAACCCAAAGCACCUGUGCUUGUGAGUGAUCUCCUGUGGGGCUUCUCAUGCCUGGGUCUGCAGCAGCAGGUUCCAGCCACAUCUGAGAGAAGGUGCUGCAGUGCUGAUGAGAGGUCCUCCUGUCCCAGUCCCUGAACCUCUCAUUUUGGAGGAGUACUGAAACCUGUUCAAGAUUUAUUUUGAUGAAAAAAACAAAGACUUCAGCCUGAG
rnacentral:lncRNA from 1 species